rnacentral:rRNA from 1 species
CGGACGGGUGAGUAACGCGUGGGUAACCUGCCUUGUACUGGGGGACAACAGUUGGAAACGACUGCUAAUACCGCAUAAGCGCACAGCUUCGCAUGAAGCAGUGUGAAAAACUCCGGUGGUACAAGAUGGACCCGCGUCUGAUUAGCUGGUUGGUGAGGUAACGGCCCACCAAGGCGACGAUCAGUAGCCGGCCUGAGAGGGUGAACGGCCACAUUGGGACUGAGACACGGCCCAAACUCCUACGGGAGGCAGCAUG